rnacentral:lncRNA from 1 species
AAUGUUCCCACGAAAAGGCCAGACGAAGGAGGACAGGCUCCCGCAAUAACCGGGAAUGGACAGCCCGGCUCAGCAAUAAAACGUACCAAAUGGAAGGAACUGUAGUGAAAUUAUACACGAUGAGCGGCGAGGCCUGUACAGAUUCCAAAAUGUUUCUUACAGACAUCACCAGCAGAGGGAACCAAAUCCAUUACAGAUGCAACAACCAAAUUAAAGAUUCUAUUUUUUGUCUGAUGGAGCCGACCUGAACCUGGAUAGUGGAUCAGUUCCAGGACAUUGUCUACAAUCAGACAGCACGGUAAAACACAAUGGAAGCCUGUUUAUGAGUGAUCUAUAAAGAGUCCUGUGGCGACUCGGCAGCGCGCUGCCAGGACUCACAUGUUAAACACGUCGCCUGUUUCUAAUAAUAUCAGCCUCUGGUGUGACGACAGGUUGAAAAGUGAUUUACCUGGGUGGACUUUUAUUACAUUUUUCCUCCUCUGAUGUUUCCAUUUAUGUCCGAGGAAUCGUGAGGCCUGGUCAGCGCGAAUGUACCUCUGGCACCUGCGGCAAGGUGGGGAAGGUGAGGGCCUGGGCUCAUCAACCUCUCGCUGAUGCUGUUAAACAAAACUAACAAUGCUGGGUGAGAACGUGUUGG